UCAUGGCUCAGAUUGAACGCUGGCGGCAGGCCUAACACAUGCAAGUCGAGCGGAAACGGAACACUAACAAUCCUUCGGGUGCGUUAAUGGGCGUCGAGCGGCGGACGGGUGAGUAAUGCCUAGGAAAUUGCCUUGAUGUGGGGGAUAACCAUUGGAAACGAUGGCUAAUACCGCAUGAUGCCUACGGGCCAAAGAGGGGGACCUUCGGGCCUCUCGCGUCAAGAUAUGCCUAGGUGGGAUUAGCUAGUUGGUGAGGUAAUGGCUCACCAAGGCGACGAUCCCUAGCUGGUCUGAGAGGAUGAUCAGCCACACUGGAACUGAGACACGGUCCAGACUCCUACGGGAGGCAGCAGUGGGGAAUAUUGCACAAUGGGCGAAAGCCUGAUGCAGCCAUGCCGCGUGUAUGAAGAAGGCCUUCGGGUUGUAAAGUACUUUCAGUUGUGAGGAAGGGUGUGUAGUUAAUAGCUGCGCAUCUUGACGUUAGCAACAGAAGAAGCACCGGCUAACUCCGUGC
rnacentral:rRNA from 1 species